ensembl:miRNA Gm24462 predicted gene, 24462
AGGCUGAUAGGGCCACAAGCAGCACAGACUGGUGUACUUCAGGCAUCUCUGGGUGAGUAUCUCUUUGAUCGCCUCACUCCAGCAUGACUUCCAAGGGGCUCCCUAC